rnacentral:rRNA from 1 species
UACGUAGGUGGCGAGCGUUGUCCGGAUUUAUUGGGUUUAAAGGGUGCGUAGGCGGCCCUAUAAGUCAGUGCUGAAAUAUCCCGGCUUAACCGGGAGGGUGGCAUUGAUACUGUAGGGCUUGAGUAAAGUUGAGGUUGGCGGAAUUGACGGUGUAGCGGUGAAAUGCUUAGAUAUCGUCAAGAACACCUAUUGCGAAGGCAGCUAACUAAGCUUUAACUGACGCUGGGGCACGAAAGUGUGGGGAUCAAACAGG